rnacentral:rRNA from 1 species
UACGGGGGGGGCAAGCGUUGUUCGGAAUCAUUGGGCGUAAAGGGCGUGUAGGCGGUUUGUUAAGUCAUGUGUGAAAUCCCUCGGCUCAACCGGGGAACGACGCAUGAAACUGGCAAGCUAGAGUACCAAAGAGGGGGGUGGAAUUCCCGGUGUAGCGGUGAAAUGCGUAGAUAUCUGGAGGAACACCGGUGGCGAAGGCGGCAUCCUGGACCGACAUUGACGCUGAGGCGCGAAAGCCAGGGGAGCAAACGGG